rnacentral:rRNA from 1 species
AACGCGAAGAACCUUACCAAGGCUUGACAUAUACCGGAAACGGCUAGAGAUAGUCGCCCCCUUGUGGUCGGUAUACAGGUGGUGCAUGGUUGUCGUCAGCUCGUGUCGUGAGAUGUUGGGUUAAGUCCCGCAACGAGCGCAACCCUUGUUCUGUGUUGCCAGCAUGCCCUUCGGGGUGAUGGGGACUCACAGGAGACUGCCGGGGUCAACUCGGAGGAAGGUGGGGACGACGUCAAAUCAUCAUGCCCCUUAUGUCUUGGGCUGCACACGUGCUACAAUGGUCGGUACAAAGGGCUGCGAUGCCGCGAGGCGGAGCGAAUCCCAAAAAGCCGGCCUCAGUUCGGAUUGGGGUCUGCAACUCGACCCCAUGAAGUUGGAGUUGCUAGUAAUCGCAGAUCAGCAUGCUGCGGUGAAUACGUUCCCGGGCCUUGUACACACCG